CGGUGGCUGGCACCAGCGCAGGACGACACCAUACAUACGCUGACUGCAUCACCAGCCGGCACCAGGACUGUUCAGUGGCCGGGAAGGAGUGCAGGCAGCCGCCAUUCCAAGUGGUUUCAUUGCCAGUCCACACGGUCCAGUAGAGGGAUGGAAACUUGACUGCGGGCUGUUCAGACUGCGGCGCUGGAACGGCAGGCAGCGCCCCCUGCUGGCCGUCCAGUGUGCCUAAAUGGAGAUCCUGCAGGUGCACUGCGUGUCCACCUCCAGGCCCCAGUCUGAGUGUCAG